GUCUGUGUGUGUGUGUGUGUACUCAGCAGUCUGUGUGUGUAUUCAGCAGUCUGCUAAAUACAGACAGACUGCUAAGUACACAGACAGACUG
rnacentral:miRNA from 1 species